rnacentral:rRNA from 1 species
AAUCAACGCUGGCGGCGUGCCUAACACAUGCAAGUCGAACGCGGUUAUUCAGCAAUGGAUAACUGAGUGGCGAACGGGUGAGUAACACGUGGGUGACCUACCUUCGAGUGGGGGAUAACGUCCCGAAAGGGACGCUAAUACCGCAUAACAUCCUGCCUUUGAACAGGUGGAGAUCAAAGCCGGGGAUCGCAAGACCUGGCGCUUGAUGAGGGGCCCGCGCCUGAUUAGCUGGUUGGUGGGGUAAUGGCUCACCAAGGCGACGAUCAGUAUCCGGCCUGAGAGGGCGGACGGACACACUGGGACUGAGACACGGCCCAGACUCCUACGGGAGGCAGCAGUGGGGAAUUGUUCGCAAUGGGCGCAAGCCUGACGACGCAACGCCGCGUGGAGGAUGAAGGUCUUCGGAUUGUAAACUCCUGUUGCUCGGGACGAAAAGCUUCGACCUAACACGUCGAAGUCUGACGGUACCGAGUGAGGAAGCCCCGGCUAACUCUGUGC